rnacentral:misc_RNA from 1 species
GAUGAAGAACGCAGCGAAAUGCGAUAAGUAAUGUGAAUUGCAGAAUUCAGUGAAUCAUCGAAUCUUUGAACGCACAUUGCGCCCCCUGGUAUUCCGGGGGGCAUGCCUGUUCGAGCGUCAUUUCACCACUCAAGCCUCGCUUAGUAUUGGGCAACGCGGUCCGCCGCGUGCCUCAAAUCGACCGGCUGGGUCUUCUGUCCCCUAAGCGUUGUGGAAACUAUUCGCUAAAGGGUGUUCGGGAGGCUACGCCGUAAAACAACCCCAUUUCUAAGGUUGACCUCGGAUCAGGUAGGGAUACCCGCUGAACUUAAGCAUAUCAAUAAGCGGAGGA